rnacentral:rRNA from 1 species
GACAGAGGGGGCAAGCGUUGCUCGGAAUUACUGGGCGUAAAGGGCGCGUAGGCGGCCACUGCAAGUCAGUUGUGAAAUCUCCGGGCUUAACCCGGAAAGGUCAACUGAUACUGCAGGGCUAGAGUGCAGAAGGGGCAACUGGAAUUCUCGGUGUAGCGGUGAAAUGCGUAGAUAUCGAGAGGAACACCUGCGGCGAAGGCGGGUUGCUGGGCUGACACUGACGCUGAGGCGCGAAAGCCAGGGGAGCGAACGGG